rnacentral:rRNA from 1 species
GACGAACGCUGGCGGCGUGCUUAACACAUGCAAGUCGAACGGAAAGGCCCUGCUUUUGUGGGGUGCUCGCGUGGCGAACGGGUGAGUAACACGUGAGUAACCUGCCCUUGACUUUGGGAUAACUUCAGGAAACUGGGGCUAAUACCGGCUAGGAGCUCCUGCUGCAUGGUGGGGGUUGGAAAGUUUCGGCGGUUGGGGAUGGACGCGCGGCUUAUCAGCUUGUUGGUGGGGUAGUGGCUUACCGAGGCUUUGAAGGGUAGCCGGCCUGAGAGGGUGACCGGCCACAUUGGGACUGGGAUACGGCCCAGAGUCCUACGGGAGGCAGCAGUGGGGAAUAUUGCACAAUGGGCGGAAGCCUGAUGCAGCAACGCCGCGUGCGGGAUGACGGCCUUCGGGUUGUAAACCGCUUUCGCCUGUGACGAAGCGUGAGUGACGGUAAUGGGUAAAGAAGCACCGGCUAACUACGUG